UCAAUUUGGUUUCUGACUACGCGGUCUAC
rnacentral:sRNA from 1 species